rnacentral:rRNA from 1 species
AUUGAACGCUGGCGGCAUGCUUUACACAUGCAAGUCGAACGGUAACAGGCCGCAAGGUGCUGACGAGUGGCGAACGGGUGAGUAAUGCAUCGGAACGUGCCCAGUCGUGGGGGAUAACGCAGCGAAAGCUGUGCUAAUACCGCAUACGAUCUAUGGAUGAAAGCGGGGGACCGUAAGGCCUCGCGCGAUUGGAGCGGCCGAUGUCAGAUUAGCUAGUUGGUGGGGUAAAGGCCCACCAAGGCGACGAUCUGUAGCUGGUCUGAGAGGACGACCAGCCACACUGGGACUGAGACACGGCCCAGACUCCUACGGGAGGCAGCAGUGGGGAAUUUUGGACAAUGGGCGCAAGCCUGAUCCAGCAAUGCCGCGUGCAGGAAGAAGGCCUUCGGGUUGUAAACUGCUUU